rnacentral:rRNA from 1 species
ACUCCUACGGGGGGCAGCAGUGGGGAAUAUUGCACAAUGGGCGAAAGCCUGAUGCAGCGACGCCGCGUGAGGGAAUAAGGCCCUACGGGUCGUAAACCUCUUUUGCCGGGGAGCAAGGGCCGGGACGAGUCCCGGUCCGGAGAGUACCCGGAGAAAAAGCAUCGGCUAACUCCGUGCCAGCAGCCGCGGUAAUACGGAGGAUGCGAGCGUUAUCCGGAUUUAUUGGGUUUAAAGGGUGCGUAGGCGGGCUUUUAAGUCAGCGGUAAAAAUUCGGGG